AACAAACGCUGGCGGCGUGCCUAAUACAUGCAAGUCGAACGAGGAAAGCUUUCAGGUGAGUACUAGUGGCGCACGGGUGAGGAAUAUAUGGGUAAUCUGCCCUCGAGUUGGGGAUAACCAGUCGAAAGACUGGCUAAUACCGAAUAAGACCGCAGGAUCUGCGGAUCUAGGGGUUAAAGGUUUUUCGCUUGAGGAUGAGCCCAUACGGGAUUAGCUAGUUGGCGAGGUAAUGGCUCGCCAAGGCUACGAUCCCUAACUGGUCUGAGAGGAUGAUCAGCCACACUGGGACUGAGACACGGCCCAGACUCCUACGGGAGGCAGCAGUGGGGAAUAUUGGACAAUGGGCGAAAGCCUGAUCCAGCAAUGCCGCGUGAGUGAUGAAGGCCUUAGGGUUGUAAAGCUCUUUCGGGUGGGACGAUGAUGACGGUACCACCAGAAGAAGCCCCGGCUAACUUCGUGCCAGCCGCCGCCGUAA
rnacentral:rRNA from 1 species